rnacentral:rRNA from 1 species
GAUGAACGCUGGCGGCGUGCCUAAUACAUGCGAGUCGAGCGAACNGGACGAGAAGCUUGCUUCUCUGAUGUUAGCGGCGGACGGGUGAGUAACACGUGGAUAACCUGCCUAUAAGACUGGGAUAACUUCGGGAAACCGGAGCUAAUACCGGAUAAUAUUUUGAACCGCAUGGUUCAAAAGUGAAAGACGGUCAUGCUGUCACUUAUAGAUGGAUCCGCGCUGCAUUAGCUAGUUGGUAAGGUAACGGCUUACCAAGGCAACGAUGCAUAGCCGACCUGAGAGGGUGAUCGGCCACACUGGAACUGAGACACGGUCCAGACUCCUACGGGAGGCAGCAGUAGGGAAUCUUCCGCAAUGGGCGAAAGCCUGACGGAGCAACGCCGCGUGAGUGAUGAAGGUCUUCGGAUCGUAAAACUCUGUUAUUAGGGAAGAACAUAUGUGUAAGUAACUGUGCACAUCUUGACGGUACCUAAUCAGAAAGCCACGGCUAACUACGUGCCAGCAGCCGCGGUAAUACGUAGGUGGCAAGCGUUAUCCGGAAUUAUUGGGCGUAAAGCGCGCGUAGGCGGUUUUUUAAGUCUGAUGUGAAAGCCCACGGCUCAACCGUGGAGGGUCAUUGGAAACUGGAAAACUUGAGUGCAGAAGAGGAAAGUGGAAUUCCAUGUGUAGCGGUGAAAUGCGCAGAGAUAUGGAGGAACACCAGUGGCGAAGGCGACUUUCUGGUCUGUAACUGACGCUGAUGUGCGAAAGCGUGGGGAUCAAACAGGAUUAGAUACCCUGGUAGUCCACGCCGUAAACGAUGAGUGCUAAGUGUUAGGGGGUUUCCGCCCCUUAGUGCUGCAGCUAACGCAUUAAGCACUCCGCCUGGGGAGUACGACCGCAAGGUUGAAACUCAAAGGAAUUGACGGGGACCCGCACAAGCGGUGGAGCAUGUGGUUUAAUUCGAAGCAACGCGAAGAACCUUACCAAAUCUUGACAUCCUUUGACAACUCUAGAGAUAGAGCUUUCCCCUUCGGGGGACAAAGUGACAGGUGGUGCAUGGUUGUCGUCAGCUCGUGUCGUGAGAUGUUGGGUUAAGUCCCGCAACGAGCGCAACCCUUAAGCUUAGUUGCCAUCAUUAAGUUGGGCACUCUAAGUUGACUGCCGGUGACAAACCGGAGGAAGGUGGGGAUGACGUCAAAUCAUCAUGCCCCUUAUGAUUUGGGCUACACACGUGCUACAAUGGACAAUACAAAGGGCAGCGAAACCGCGAGGUCAAGCAAAUCCCAUAAAGUUGUUCUCAGUUCGGAUUGUAGUCUGCAACUCGACUACAUGAAGCUGGAAUCGCUAGUAAUCGUAGAUCAGCAUGCUACGGUGAAUACGUUCCCGGGUCU